UAGCUCAGUUGGGAGAGCGUCUGCCUUACAAGCAGAGGGUCAGCGGUUCGAGCCCGU
rnacentral:tRNA from 1 species